CUCGUCUUCCCCGGAGGCCGCGGUGCCUCAAGGCUGACCUGGCGCCCCCUCCUCGCCCUUCCGCCGCCUCUGAGCUGGGGUUCGGUUUGCGUGCAACGGAGGUGGCGUACGAGGCGAACAAGUCGCUGGUGGUCGAGGACGUGUAGGUGGCGCCGCCGCUGGCCGGCGAGUCUGCGUCAAGGUCCUCUCCACUGUGCUCUGCCACACCAUCUACUACACCUGGAGCGGCAAGGAUCCCGAGGGCCUCUUUCCUUGCAUUCUCGGUGACAAGGCUGCUGGCUGCUGAUAGAAUUGUUGAGAGUGUCGGCGAAGGAGUGACCGACGUGCAGCCAGGGGGACUGCAAGAUGUGCACUAAACCCGAAGGAGCCCGUAUGGAAGGCACCUCCUCUCCAGGCGGUGAGAGCGUUGAGGG